rnacentral:misc_RNA from 1 species
GAUGAAGAACGUAGCGAAAUGCGAUACUUGGUGUGAAUUGCAGAAUCCCGUGAACCAUCGAGUCUUUGAACGCAAGUUGCGCCCGAAGCCAUUAGGCCGAGGGCACGCCUGCCUGGGUGUCACACACCGUUACCCUCGCGCCAACGUCCAUCGUUGGCCGCGGCGCGGGGCGUGCGCUGACCUCCCGAGAGCGGGGUCUCGUGGUUGGUUGAAAAUCGAGUUCGCGGUCGAGGGUGCCGUGAUGAAAUGGUGGAUGGGCGACGCCCGAGGCCAAUCACGCGCGACUCUGUCCGGGUCGGACUCCUGGACCCCUUCGGCGUCUCCGGACGCUCUUUGGCGAGACCUCAGGUCAGGCGGGGCUACCCGCUGAGUUUAAGCAUAUCAAUAAGCGGAGGA